rnacentral:misc_RNA from 1 species
GAUGAAGAACGUAGCGAAAUGCGAUAAGUAAUGUGAAUUGCAGAAUUCAGUGAACCAUCGAAUCUUUGAACGCACAUUGCGCCCGCUGGUAUUCCGGCGGGCAUGCCUGUUCGAGCGUCAUUUCAACCCUCAAGCUCUCCGGAGUUUGGUGUUGGGGCGCCUGGGGCUUUUCGACCUCAGGGCCCUCAAGUCCAUCGGCGGGACCGCCAGGACACUGAGCGCAGUAGUAUUAUUUCGCUCGGUAGGAUCUUCCACGGCGGGUCGAUCUGGCCGCUAAACCCCCCAAUUCUCACCAAAGGUUGACCUCGGAUCAGGUAGGAAUACCCGCUGAACUUAAGCAUAUCAAUAAGCGGAGGA